GGUGGCUCAGUGGUAGAGUGCUUGCCUUGCAUGUAUGUGGCUCUGGGUUCGAUUCCUCAGCACCA
rnacentral:tRNA from 1 species